rnacentral:rRNA from 1 species
GAUGAACGCUGGCGGCGUGCCUAACACAUGCAAGUCGAGCGGCAGCGAGGGGUGCUUGCACCCUGUCGGCGAGCGGCGGACGGCUGAGUAACGCGUGGGAACGUGCCCCAAAGUGAGGAAUAACUGCCCGAAAGGGUAGCUAAUACCGCAUAUUAUCUUCGGAUCAAAGGAUUUAUCCGCUUUGGGAGCGGCUCGCGUCGGAUUAGGUAGUUGGUGAGGUAAUGGCUCACCAAGCCGACGAUCCGUAGCUGGUCUGAGAGGAUGACCAGCCAGACUGGAACUGAGACACGGUCCAGACUCCUACGGGAAGCAGCAGUGAGGAAUCUUCCACAAUGGGCGAAAGCCUGAUGGAGCAACGCCGCGUGCAGGACGAAGGCCUUCGGGUUGUAAACUGCUUUUAUAAGUGAGGAAUAUGACGGUAACUUAUGAAUAAGGAUCGGCUAACUACGUG